rnacentral:misc_RNA from 1 species
UGUUGCAGCUUGACGUGGCCGUAGACGCCCUCGAAGACGCCAGAACCGCCAGUCACCGCGAGGUACGAUUCCUCGUAGGUCAGGUAUGGCCCCUGCACCGAUAUGUGCCCAUAGUCCCCGAAAUAGAAACUGUAGAUGGCCUCAUACCGGUCCCCGCCCUUUUCAGGGACAUGCUGGAUCAGGAUGCAGAGACCGGAUGUGAUUCCGAGUCGCAACUGGAGGUUACCA